UACGAAGGGGGCUAGCGUUGCUCGGAAUCACUGGGCGUAAAGCGCACGUAGGCGGAUUGCUAAGUCAGGGGUGAAAUCCUGGAGCUCAACUCCAGAACUGCCUUUGAUACUGGCGAUCUUGAGUCCGGGAGAGGUGAGUGGAACUGCGAGUGUAGAGGUGAAAUCGUAGAUAUUCGCAAGAACACCAGUGGCGAAGGCGGCUCACUGGCCGGUACUGACGCUGAGG
rnacentral:rRNA from 1 species